CUACCUCUUGAUCUUUUCCAGCUUGUACUUCUUCGUCCGCUAGAUUACAUCGCCGUUGCCAUUGACGUCUCCUCGCAGCCUCGCCGUCAGCCACUUCAUGGAAAACCCUAAUUGUAAUGGGUUUGGGCUUUAAUCCAUAGUUAUGUGAUGAGUUUGGUUUUGUAAUUGUAAUUGGGUUUUUUUAUUGGUUUGUUACUAGAUUACAGAUUUUUUUGGGCCCAUUAUCUGUAUUUAGGGCUAAUUCGGUUUAAAUAAACCGAAAUAGAAAAAAAAUCGGUUUAAUUCGGAA